UUAGUCCAUAUUUUUGCAUAUUUAAGUGCCUAUUUUUUGUUUAUUUUUGUAGUAUUAAUCGCUUAUUUAUUUUAUUUCAGGAAAUUGUAGAUAAAUAAAGAAAGAAGAGAAAAUGCAAGAAAAAGAAGAAAAGGGAAAAGAAAAGAAGAAAAAAAAGAGAGUUGGCAACUAAGGGACACAUGGAGGGCCACAAUCUUCCCAACACACAAGGCACAUGGAUGGCCAAGAUUGAGCCACCCUACCCAUAAACCCUAAUUCUUUAGUUAUAAAUACCCCCUUCUCCUUACUUGUAAUAACCAACCUAGCAACCUAGUAAACCUAGCCACCUACUCUCUUUUUCUACCUAGUCAUUCCUAUAGUUAGUAUCUUAGAUAGAUUUACAUUUUGCUAGCUUCAAUUUCCUUUCCAAGCUUGUAUACACUUUUUAAUUUAUAUGCAAAUCUCUCUUAGCUUAAUCUUGUCUUGUCUUUUUUUCUCCAAGUUGUAUGAUUCUCUUAAGUCUCCAAGUUGUAUGAUUCUCUUAAGUACCACCACAUGCUUUUAAGCUUUUGGGAAAUGAAGAAUCAUUGAGCUUGUGAUUAGUAUAGAUCUAAACUCUAGCACAAAAUUAAUUUGUGCGGGGGGUUUGGUUAAGAUUGCAGUAAUUAGAAAUUAACUUGAUACGUCACUUCUUUGAUUGCAAAACUUUAACAGCCUUUUAUUUUGUUAUCUGGAUCUAAAGUCAGUUCUAAUAAACAAAUCGUUAGCACCUUUUCUUAUUUUGUUUAAAAACAAUCACCUACUGUUCUGUUUUUCUUAAUUUUAUAAUCAAAAACCCUCCCCUGCUUUCGUUUUGCUUAAACAAACCCAGACCCCUUUUCUUACUUUUUCCGAGUUCUUGGCUGUAGUUGAGUUUUGUGGUCUUAGUCGCGAGUCAGGAGUUGGGGUUGCGUCCAUGAGCCGCGCCGAGUCACCACUGAUUCAUAUAACCGAGUCACCGAUUCUGCUUUGUGUGUCGAGUUGAGUACGAGUCCAGUUCUGAGUUUAUGUGCAUCGUUUUGAUUCCAUCGAGUCGCGUUGUUACUGAGUUUAAUCGAGUCGCUGGUUGUGUAUUUCUGGGUUUAGUUUUCGUUUUGUUUUUCUACGUUUUCAGUCGAGUGUUUUCUGUUUGCUGCUUGAGUUUGAGGCCGAGUUUCCGAGUCCAGAGUCGAGUCGAGUCUGCGUCUUAUUGGAAUGCCGAGCUUCAGUUUCUCUGUUGUUGAAUCAAUUAGUUUGUGUUUGUAGUUUGUUCCCUGCGUUUCUUUUGUUUGUAAUCAGUCCCGAUUUUGUUGCUGGGUUCGUUUUUCUUUGUUUGAAUCCUGCUUAUUGUUGCUCUGUUUUGAGUCGAGUAACCAGUUUAGUUGAUUAGUUUUGUUUGCUUUUCGAGUUCACCGAGUCAGCUGAGUUUCUUGUGUUUUUGUUAGUCAUCGAGUCAUGCGUUGUCGAGUCUCAAACCCCUGCUUUCAUUGCGUCGAUUUCUUCUUUGUAGCCUGUGUUUUCGCCGAGUUCUGUAUAUGUAAUAGCCGAGUUAAGUCCUGCUGAGUUUCUGUAUGUUUUGUUAAUUUAGUGUCGAGGUCCGAGUCGCAGGUUCUGUCUCCGAGUUUCCCGAGUCAGUAGCUGGAUUCCUUUGUCUAAAUAGUGGAGUUUGUUUUAUUUUGUUAGCUGUUGUAAGGUUGUUUAAGAAUGAUUUGUGUCAAGUAGUUUGUUUUGGGUUUUAAUUUGUUUAGUCUCUGAGUUGCCAUUUCGAGUUUGCCAUUUCUAAUGGAUUUUGUUAUUUACUGAAGUUUAGUGCUUGAAAAUUUUCUGAUUAUAAAUUGUGGUUAAACACGAUUUGACUUUUUGAAUUGGCUAGAUAGAUUAAGCACACGACUUGUCAUUUUUUUUUCUUUUAAGUGUCUAAAAUUAGUUUUCGAUCUUAAAUUAUUAGGCUUAAUUUUGAUUUUAAUUGUGAUUAGUAAUAAUUAAUUAGAUUAGUUUAAAAUGAAAUCUUAGAGUUAAAUUUAGAAAACCCUUUUUCUCAAAAUUAAUUGUUCUAAUUCGCCUAGGUUAGAUUUAAAGGUUAGCGAAAAAUAAUUUUAAUCUCUGUGGAUCGAAUCAUAAAUAUUAAAACGAUGAUCGUGCGCUUGCGAUAUUUUUAAAAUAUAAUUUCUAGCACAUCAAGUUUUUGGCGCCGCUGCCGGGGAUUAAAAUUAAUUUUUCGCUCCUUUAUUUUUAAUCUUUCGGAUUAGUUUGUUUCUCACUAUUUUUGCUUUUAUUUCGAGGCGGAUUAUUCGGGAAUCAUGGAGUAAAGUGGACAAAUUUUGCUCGGAUUUGGAAGCUUGCUUUGGAAAUUGUAGAUAAAUAAAGAAAGAAGAGAAAAUGCAAGAAAAAGAAGAAAAGGGAAAAGAAAAGAAGAAAAAAAAGAGAGUUGGCAACUAAGGGACACAUGGAGGGCCACAAUCUUCCCAACACACAAGGCACAUGGAUGGCCAAGAUUGAGCCACCCUACCCAUAAACCCUAAUUCUUUAGUUAUAAAUACCCCCUUCUCCUUACUUGUAAUAACCAACCUAGCAACCUAGUAAACCUAGCCACCUACUCUCUUUUUCUACCUAGUCAUUUCUAUAGUUAGUAUCUUAGAUAGAUUUACAUUUUGCUAGCCUCAAUUUCCUUUCCAAGCUUGUAUACACUUUUUAAUUUAUAUGCAAAUCUCUCUUAGCUUAA